AGGCGGCGGCGACUACGGCGGCGGCGUCGGGGGGCUCGGGGCGGGGGGAGGGGGAGGGAGCGGGCGCGCGGGCGGGCGCGAGUCCGAGGCUCCGAGCCGGGAUUCCAGGCCGGUCAGCUGGAGGCGGGCCGCACCACUCGGCCUGCAGAGAUGGGGGGGCCGGGGGAGGCGCGGAGAGGGAGGGUAGCUGAGGAGGAGGGGCGUGCGGGUGAACCGAGGACCGCGGGGGAGGAGGGAAGACCCGGCGCCCUCGGCAGCUCCCACCGCCGCUCGCAGCCAGAGCGCUGUCCCGCGCGGCGGCGCUGGGAAGGACCUGAGGCCCCCGCCGGCUCUGGCGUAGCAGCGGCGGCUGUGAAGCCCCGGGCCUCGCUCGCUCCGUCACGCUCCCCUCCCCCGAAGGCUGCGCUGACCGGACAAUGGCCGCUCCGCCCCCUCCCCUCCUCACACACCCCUCCUAAGGAGUCACAAUGGUCUCGCCCGGGGGAGCCGCCGCCAAAGCCCAGCAGCUGAUCAGCUGGGAUCCGGGCGUGCCACUUUGUUCAGCCCCCUCAAAGGAAGAGUACGGGGCUGUGGGCAAAGCCGAGAGCGUCGGGCUAUCACCCGGCGACGGGCCUCUGAGGUUUUCAUAUUCUUGGAACUUUUAAAAUCUGAGGCAAACUUACCUUCUCCCUGUCUGAAGAAGGGGAGCAGGUUUCUGAGUACCCUGGGGCACGUUGCCUCCCCCCAAACGCGAAUGAGUGGACAUGUUUGGUUUGGGGAGGGGACCUAUGGCCGAAUCAGUGAUGAAAAUUAACGUAAGCAAAGAAGUUCGAGCCACCAAAAAAUAAGCCUUUAGCGCUUCUUGUCUUUCAUCUUGAACUCAUUCUGAGUUCCAGCCAAUCGUGAGCAGAAGGCGAUUGUAGAUGGCAAAUGUCAACGCGGAGGAAACUUCCACCAUAUCUACUGGAGAGGUGACUCCCACAGCUGAGACCCUUGUUGGCGAACUUCGAAGGUCACUGCUACUUCCGGAAGGCUUCCUGGCUCUUAGAAAAGGCAGCUGUGUACCCCUGAUUCGGCAAGAAUACGAGACCCUCAGAGGAUAUUACCUAGAUUAAUUUUAUUGUCAAAUGUUAUUAUUUCUAUAUCUACCAUUAUGUCUGUGCAUGCUCUGUGGACUUGUUGACAUUUAUGUCGCUUCUUUUGGCCUCUAAAGAGCAAGGAUCACAUUUAGCUUAGCAUCUUCUAAAAGAUGCUGUGGAUGAUAAAGACAAAUGAUUGCAAAAAUCAAGUUCUUUACAGCCAAUGCACUUCCAAAAGUGAGUGCUGAUUUUCGUAAUAUUUAGUUUCGACUUUGUGCAUUUUCACAAGCCUUCAAUGAGUAGUUAUGUCAAAAGUCCAUUGAGUGGAUGAAGCCAUACAGCCAUACAGCUAGGUGCUUUCAUUGGACUCACAUUCCCCUUAAAUCUUCACUUAAACUAACAUGAAAUUGCCACAUUCUUAAAAGACUUAUAGCUUUUGAGUUUAACAGACCAAGAUUAAGUGGGACUCUCUCUCUAUUGGCAUUUUGAUGGUCUUUUAUAUAUGGAAAAAGUAAACCUAAAACCAAAAGGAAAAUUUAAUAUAAACUGUGAUUGUCAUCUUACAAACUGCUUGCCUACCUGUCUGCUUGCCAGUUAUUCUUUUUAACAAGCAUUGACUGACUACCAAGAUGUGCACAAAAUUUUCUAAGGCCUUAUCCCUCCUGUUACCCUCUGCACCACUGCUCUUCCUCUCUCUUGCCCAGGACACUACUCCUGCCCAUUCAGGCAUAUGUUAUCUCUUCAAUGCCUUGCCUUUGCUAACAAGGCAGAAUUAGUCCCUCCUUCCUCUGCCCACAUAAUCUCCAUUAUAGGACCAAGAAAUAUACAUGUUUGUCUCCUACCACAAAACCUAACUCCAAAAGGUUUGGCUGAUAGAAAUAGCUGCUAAGUACUCUCAACGCAGUGGGGAUACAAGAUGCUCAGAAGGUAUCACCUAGAUUAAUUUUAUUAGCAAAUAUUAUUUUAUUUCUAUAAAUGCCAUUCUGUUUGUACAUUAUCUGUAUACUUGUAGGAUCCACAAAUCACCAUGGGAUUGAAGCCAACUCAAUCCAUGUUUACUGAAUGGAAGAGCUUAUUUGAUAAGAAGCCACUCUUAGUCAAGCCUCUUGUAUCUGCAAGGAACAGAAACCCACUGAAACUUUAUGCAAAAAUUAAUUAAUUGAUUAAUAGGGGCACCUGGGUGGCUCAGUGGUUGAGCUUCCAAAUCUUGAUUUUAGCUCAGGUCAUGAUCUCAUGGUUUGUGGGUUCAAACCCACUCUGGAUCCUCUCUCUCUGUCCCUCCCUUGCUCAUGCUCUCUUUCUCUCUCUCAAAAUAAAAUAAACUUUUUAAAAAAUUAA